AAAAAGGGCUUCUGUUGUGAGUGGAACAUGUAGGGCAACUUGCUUGCUCUGCAUAUGGAAUUGUCAUCAAGAGAUUUCGGAAGCAUAAUUUUUUGAUGCUUGGGCAGCUGGUAAUAGUUAUCCACUGUGUGA
ensembl:snRNA